rnacentral:rRNA from 1 species
AGGACGAACGCUGGCGGCACGCUUAACACAUGCAAGUCGAACGGAGAAUUUGGUUACUGAGAAUCUAGUGGCGGACGGGUGAGUAACACGUGAGCAACCUACCUCAGAGAGAGGGAUAGCUUCUGGAAACGGGUGGUAAUACCUCAUAACAUAACUGAAAGGCAUCUUUUGGUUAUCAAAGAUUUAUCACUCUGAGAUGGGCUCGCGUCUGAUUAGAUAGUUGGUGAGGUAACGGCUCACCAAGUCGACGAUCAGUAGCCGGACUGAGAGGUUGAACGGCCACAUUGGGACUGAGACACGGCCCAGACUCCUACGGGAGGCAGCAGUGGGGAAUAUUGCACAAUGGGGGAAACCCUUGAUGCAGCGAUGCCGCGUGGAGGAAGAAGGUUUUCGGAUUGUAAACUCCUGUCUUAAAGGACGAUAAUGACGGUACUUUAGGAGGAAGCUCCGGCUAACUACGUGCCAGCCGCCGC